CCUGAUUUCCGUGUCCAACGUUUGACCGUCCGUCUUAUUUAAAAAAAUUAUGAAAAAAAUAAAAAGACGCAUAAAAUAUUAAUCAUGUUUUAUCAUCUAACAAUAAUGAAAAUACGAAUUAUAAAAAAUUUCAUAUAAGACGGACAGUCAAAGUUAGACACGAAAAUUCAGGAUUUGCUUUUU
rfam:Oryza glaberrima chromosome 7 Oglab07_0153_22, whole genome shotgun sequence.